AUUGAACGCUGGCGGCAUGCCUUACACAUGCAAGUCGAACGGCAGCACGGGAGCAAUCCUGGUGGCGAGUGGCGAACGGGUGAGUAAUAUAUCGGAACGUGCCCGGUCGUGGGGAUAACGUAGCGAAAGCUACGCUAAUACCGCAUACGAUCUACGGAUGAAAGCGGGGGAUCGCAAGACCUCGCGCGAUUGGAGCGGCCGAUAUCAGAUUAGGUAGUUGGUGAGGUAAAGGCUCACCAAGCCGACGAUCUGUAGCUGGUCUGAGAGGACGACCAGCCACGACUGGGACUGAGACACGG
rnacentral:rRNA from 1 species